UGUGAGUGAUGACUCCUCUUUCCCGACUCCUAAUAUGGGGGUAAAAACUGAUUUAAUGAGCCUGACAC